AACGGCCGCGGUACUCUGACCGUGCAAAGGUAGCAUAAUCUUGCCUUAUAAUUGAAGGCUGGAAUGAAUGGUUUGACAAGAGUGCAACUGUCUCUUUAUGAUUCAAUAGAAUUUUAUUUUGGGAUGAAAAAGUCCUAAUAUAAUUAAAAGACAAGAAGACCCUAUCGAGCUUGAAAUAAAUUAACAAAAGAAAAAUUUAUUAGACAAAAAAAAAAUUGUGUUGUUAAACAUUUUGGUUGGGGCCAAGCUAAGGAGUAAAAAAAGCCUCCUUUAUGUUAAGAUAAACUAACAAGUACUGAUCCAAACUUUUUGAUCAAAGAAAAUAGUUACCGUAGGGAUAACAGCAUUAUCUUUUUUGAGAGUUCCUAUCAAAAAAGGUUUGUGACCUCGAUGUUGGACCAGAAUAUCCUGAAGAUGCA
rnacentral:rRNA from 1 species